rnacentral:rRNA from 1 species
UACGGAGGGAGCUAGCGUUGUUCGGAAUUACUGGGCGUAAAGCGCACGUAGGCGGCUUUGCAAGUUAGAGGUGAAAGCCCGGGGCUCAACUCCGGAAUUGCCUUUAAAACUGCAUCGCUAGAGUUGUGGAGAGGUAAGUGGAAUUCCGAGUGUAGAGGUGAAAUUCGUAGAUAUUCGGAAGAACACCAGUGGCGAAGGCGACAUCCUGGACACCAACUGACGCUGAGACGCGAAAGCGUGGGGAGCAAACAGG